GUGGGGAAUCUUGCGCAAUGGGCGAAAGCCUGACGCAGCAACGCCGCGUGUGUGAUGAAGGUCUUCGGAUCGUAAAGCACUGUCGGGAGGGACGAAUAAGGGCCGGGCUAACAUCCCGGUCCGAUGACGGUACCUCCAAAGGAAGCACCGGCUAACUCUGUGCCAGCAGCCGCGGUAAUACAGAGGGUGCAAGCGUUGUUCGGAAUUAUUGGGCGUAAAGCGCGUGUAGGCGGCCAGCCAAGUCGGGUGUGAAAGCCCUCGGCUUAACCGAGGAAGUGCGCCCGAAACUAUCUGGCUUGAGUACCGGAGAGGAUGGUGGAAUUCCCGGUGUAGAGGUGAAAUUCGUAGAUAUCGGGAGGAACACCAGUGGCGAAGGCGACCAUCUGGACGGAUACUGACGCUGAGACGCGAAAGCGUGGGUAGCAAACAGGAUUAGAAACCCCUGUAGUCC
rnacentral:rRNA from 1 species